UGGGAAGUGAUGGGAAAUGGUGGAAAGUGGUGGGAGGGAGUGGGAAGAGGUGGGAAGAGUUGGAGAGUGGUGGGAAGUGAUGGGAAGGGUUGGAAAGUGCUGGGAAGCGGUGGGAGGCAGUGGGACGGGAUGGGAAGAGCUGGAAAGUGAUGGGAAGUGAUGGGAAGAGUUGGAGAGUGGUGGGAAGUGAUGGAAAGGAUUGAAAAAUGGUAGGACUCUGUGGGAGGUGUUGGGAAGCACUGGGAAGAGUUGGAAAGUGGUGGGAAGUGAUGGGAAGAGUUGGAAGGUGGUGGGAAGUGAUGGGAAGGGUUGGAGAGCGGUGGGAAGUGAUGGGAAGGGCUGGAAAGUGGUGGGAAGAGCUGGAAAGUGGUGAGAGGCGG